rnacentral:rRNA from 1 species
UGAGGAAUAUUGGUCAAUGGGCGAGAGCCUGAACCAGCCAAGUCGCGUGAGGGAAGACUGCCCUAUGGGUUGUAAACCUCUUUUGUAAGGGAAGAACCGACAUUACGUGUAAUGUUUUGCCAGUACCUUACGAAUAAGCAUCGGCUAACUCCGUGCCAGCAGCCGCGGUAAUACGGAGGAUGCGAGCGUUAUCCGGAUUUACUGGGUGUAAAGGGCGAGUAGGCGGGUCAGUAAGUCAGAUGUGAAAUACCGGGGCUCAACCCCGGGGCUGCAUUUGAAACUAUUGAUCUUGAGUGAUGGAGAGGCAGGCGGAAUUCCCGGUGUAGCGGUGGAAUGCGUAGAUAUCGGGAGGAACACCAGUGGCGAAGGCGGCCUGCUGGACAUUAACUGACGCUGAGGAGCGAAAGCGUGGGGAGCAAACA